CCAACAGGGAUUGCCUCAGUAACGGCGAGUGAAGCGGCAACAGCUCAAAUUUGAAAUCUGGCCCCAGGCCCGAGUUGUAAUUUGCAGAGGAUGCUUCUGGCGCGGUGCCUUCCAAGUCCCCUGGAACGGGGCGCCAUAGAGGGUGAGAGCCCCGUCUGGUUGGCCGCCAAGCCUGUGUGAAGCUCCUUCGACGAGUCGAGUAGUUUGGGAAUGCUGCUCUAAAUGGGAGGUAGACCCCUUCUAAAGCUAAAUAUUGGCCAGAGACCGAUAGCGCACAAGUAGAGUGAUCGAAAGAUGAAAAGCACUUUGAAAAGAGGGUUAAAUAGUACGUGAAAUUGUUGAAAGGGAAGCGCUUGUGACCAGACGUGCGUCGGGGUGUUCAGCGGGCGUUCUCGCCCGUGCACUCGCCCCGGUGCAGGCCAGCGUCGGUUUGGGCGGGGGGACAAAGGCGCCGGGAACGUAGCUCCUCCGGGAGUGUUAUAGCCCGGCGUGUCAUGCUCCCGCCUGGACCGAGGUUCGCGCUCCGCAAGGACGCUGGCGUAAUGGUCCCCAGCGGCCCGUCUUGAAACACGGACCAAGGAGUCGAGGUUUUGCGCGAGUGUUUGGGUGUCAAACCCGCACGCGUAAUGAAAGUGAACGCAGGUGGGAGCUUCGGCGCACCACCGACCGAUCCUGAUGUUCUCGGAUGGAUUUGAGUAAGAGCGUAGGGCCUCGGACCCGAAAGAUGGUGAACUAUACGUGAAUAGGGUGAAGCCAGAGGAAACUCUGGUGGAGGCUCGCAGCGGUUCUGACGUGCAAAUCGAUCGUCAAAUUUGCGUAUGGGGGCGAAAGACUAAUCGAACCAU
rnacentral:rRNA from 1 species